CAUUUUUCGGCAGGAGAUGCCUUGUCGCUUUCAGGGCGCCUGGCAUGUCCGUGCGAGGAGCUGGGGGGCUCGCCAGCGCAGCCUGCCCGACUGUGGCGUUCUCGUCCCGACAGCCGCGCUCGCGGGAGAAGAGAGUCGCCUUCCCCGCGCUGCCCUUCCGCGAGCCUCUCUGGCUUUCCGCGCGCAGACAGCCUGACCCGCCUAGGAAAAGUGAGUGUGGGACGUGACUCGUGCUGUUUGAUUGUGCAUUAAUGCAGGAUUUGUGAAGAGGUGACCCAAAUUUAAAGACAAUGUUGGAUGCAAACCGAUUUGCCAGCAAUUGCGUCACCAUCAAAACCAGCUCUGUCCGUGUCUUCGGAAGACACCAAGUGAAAUAUGUGUGGAUGGGAUUGACGUCCGAAAAACCAAGGCAAGAGUCCAUGGGAAGGGACGGAGGUGGAACAGGACUGGACCGGAAUAGCAGUGGGCUGCAGGAGUCAAGACCUCUGCAGCAGGUUGUGGAGUUUCACAGAACCCGCAAGGAGAGGAAUCCAUGCCUGCACCUGUCACGGGAAUCCUUCAGAAGGGAAGGCUGAGAGGAGCCAGGUGAGGCUGGGUGGGUGUGG
rnacentral:lncRNA from 1 species